AACGAACGCUGGCGGCAUGCCUAACACAUGCAAGUCGAACGAGACCUUCGGGUCUAGUGGCGCACGGGUGCGUAACGCGUGGGGACCUGCCCUUAGGUUCGGAAUAACUCCCCGAAAGGGGUGCUAAUACCGGAUAAUGUCUUCGGACCAAAGAUUUAUCGCCUUUGGAUGGGCCCGCGUUGGAUUAGCUAGUUGGUAGGGUAAAAGCCUACCAAGGCGACGAUCCAUAGCUGGUCUGAGAGGAUGAUCAGCCACACUGGGACUGAGACACGGCCCAGACUCCUACGGGAGGCAGCAGUGGGGAAUAUUGGACAAUGGGCGAAAGCCUGAUCCAGCAAUGCCGCGUGAGUGAUGAAGGACUUAGGGUUGUAAAGCUCUUUUACCCGGGAUGAUAAUGACAGUACCGGGAGAAUAAGCUCCGGCUAACUCCGUG
rnacentral:rRNA from 1 species